GCAGGUCUUCCUAGCUCAUGUCAGUAUUGCACCAAGGGAGCUGGGCCAAACUUAGCAUACAAGCCCUGUAGGUAUGAGUAUAGGUGGAGAUGGGGGGUCAAGUUGGCCUCAGCUGAGAAGAGAGAGGCCCUCUGUGUUAGGAACCCAGGAAGGGCCAGAGACCAUGAGCAGUUUGAUGUGACCAAAAUGGAACUAAAUGGUUACAGUAUUAGCGUUUGCAGAUGACAUUGGAGAGGAAACCAUGAAGGAUCCAGUUAAUGGGCCCUUGAAGGUGAGUAUGGGAAGCUUGGACGUCACUGACCCUGUCUAGGUUUAGAUGCCCCAAACAUUCCACCUAGGCUUUCGCUCAGCCUUAUUCCUGGCACCCACCUUCCACCACCCAAUAUGAGUCCAUCCUCCACGCUGAUGCUGUCAUGAUCUUCCUGAAACACAACUUGGCCUAUCCCAGCACUCCCUCCUUCAGCUCCUUCAAUGUAUCCUUAUGGAGUAAAGUCCAAACUCCUAAGCCUGCCUUUCAAAGUCCUCCACAACCUCCUUUUGAGCAUGAUCCUUCAUGCACCUGUCCUUCUACAGGCCCCACCUCUCUGGCUGACUCGUGUUGGGCCCUCUACCCAUUCUCCUUCCUCUCUGCAACCUCCCUUGCCUUCUCCCAGGGUCUUCUGUUGAAGAUCUGUUAUUCUUUAAGGCCUGGUUCUAAUCUCAUGUCCUUCAAAACUCCUUUUAAGAUCUUCUAGUUUGAAAUAGUCUCUCAAGCCACUGUAUUUGUAUAUCAUGUAUCUACACCAGCACUUAUCUGUCUGCCCAGUAUCAGAGUUAUUUAUAAAUGUCUGUUUCUCCUAUUAUGUUGUAUGCUCUUAGAAAGCAAAAAUAGAAUUGACAAAAGAAAUAUUUGAUGAGUUUCUCGUAUUGGAGUUUAUAAAAACCUUUUUGGAAUAGUUCUAUAGAUAUCUAAACACUAAGAGCAACCAUCCUGAGCCUAGGACAUGCUGAUCUUUCAAGACCCACACAAUUUCUACUCCUUGUUCUAUGGUAGGUUAUCACUAGAUAAGAAAUGCCACCCUGACAGGCCAAGAAUCCUCCCCGCCCCUCUCAGCCCAGUGUUGUGUCUAACCGUGGAGCCAGGCUGGCGAUUUGGGGCAGAGCAUGGUGUUGAUAUCAAAACAUUUGGACAUCAUCCACCACACUGCCUUAGUCCCUUUACUCGACUCUGGACCUAUCAUCUGAGGUGAACACAUGACUGCUUAGUCUGUGAGGAAUGGAGGAACGCAGGAACUUAGCAAGGGAGGCAAGUGGUUAUACAGGGGGAAAAGCAGCCAUCUGAGAUAAUUUAUUGAGUAUACUUAUGUGCCAGGCUCUGGACCAGAGACUCUGGGUGAUACAACCCUGAAAGGCAGCAGAAAACAUGCUUGCUCUUCUUACUCAAGCAAGAGAGGGCCAGCCUCCUAGAAAAUGUUUACAAGCUUCAAAGAAGACGUGCUUGCAUGGGACAGCACGAGAAACAUCCCCAGGUUUUCUAUCUGGGGAGGGACAUGGCAGAAGCAGUAUUUUGGGAAGAUAUUUCUGGCAGCAGUAUGUACAGUCUAGACUGAAGAGGAGAAGGUGAAGCCAGGGAAGACUAACAACGAGUCCAGAGAUGGAGAGGAACAAACCUGACUGGGGUGGUGGCACAAAGGAGAGCAUGUCCUGUUCAUCCUUCCCUCCACAAAGCAGCUGGACAAGACCCAACCAGUGAUGGGAUCUCUGUAGCAUCAUUUUCCAAAGGAAGCUGGCACAUGACAAGUGCUGCCUCCAUUUCAAAAUCCAUUCAUGUACCGACAUUCGCCUACCCUCUCGGCCUUGAUCCCACUCUCCUGAGGUGCCUGAGGGAUCUUGCCACUGUGCGCAUGGCACUAAGGAACUCUGCCUGCCAGUCCCAGAACUGCUCUUGUCUCACUCUGUUACCUUAUGCAAAUGGCAGGC
rnacentral:lncRNA from 1 species